rnacentral:lncRNA from 1 species
GGCAUCCCACGCUUUUGGAAUUCAAUCGUGAAAACAUGUGCCACCUUUGCACCAAAUACUUUCUUCUUAUCAAUUUCCAUCAUCAAAGCUCGUCGCUUCAAUUCAAAUGCGCGGGCCACCAAGUCUGGACGGUCAAUUGACGUUUGAUGUGGUAACAAUGCAUCUUUUAUCUCUGGCCAAUUCGGAUUUGCAGUCAUAGUUAAGAAAAUACCAGGGUGUUAGUUAUACCGAGUUAUGGCCAUAGAAUCUUGGAAGAUUUCAAACAUUUGCCUUGGACUCCCAGAAAAAGAAGAAGGCAAAACUACUCAUUUACCAACUUGAUUAGCCUCUAACCCAUCAGGAACUACCUCGACCAGAUCUUGGUAUAGAUCAGAUCGUAAUUUUUGUUGGUUGAGCCUAUAAUAUGUUAAUCGAUUCUGCUCUGUUGCCGUCCGUGCAUCUACAAUAAACUCUUGAAAUAAUCUUCCACCCCUCAAGAUAGUUGAAUACUCAGUAGGUCUUUCAAACAAACGAUACCCAUAAUAUUGCAAUUACGUAAGUCUUUUGGAUGAAGCUUUACCUUGAUUGACAUCCCACUGCUUAAAAUUGGUUCCCAUCCAAGCUCACCAUACGAAAACAACAAUACGUAAUGUAGUGGUAAAUAAGCUGGAUGGCAUUCAUUUAUCUGCAUCAACUGGUCACUCCCUCUUAACCGUACAAUAAUA